rnacentral:tRNA from 1 species
GCGGGCGUGGUCUACCGGUAUGACACCUGCCUUCCAAGCAGGUAGAAGGGGUUCGACUCCCCUCGCCCGCA